rnacentral:rRNA from 1 species
AGAGUUUGAUCAUGGCUCAGGACGAACGCUGGCGGCGUGCCUAAUACAUGCAAGUUGAGCGCUGAAGGUUGGUACUUGUACCGACUGGAUGAGCAGCGAACGGGUGAGUAACGCGUGGGGAAUCUGCCUUUGAGCGGGGGACAACAUUUGGAAACGAAUGCUAAUACCGCAUAAAAACUUUAAACACAAGUUUUAAGUUUGAAAGAUGCAAUUGCAUCACUCAAAGAUGAUCCCGCGUUGUAUUAGCUAGUUGGUGAGGUAAAGGCUCACCAAGGCGAUGAUACAUAGCCGACCUGAGAGGGUGAUCGGCCACAUUGGGACUGAGACACGGCCCAAACUCCUACGGGAGGCAGCAGUAGGGAAUCUUCGGCAAUGGACGAAAGUCUGACCGAGCAACGCCGCGUGAGUGAAGAAGGUUUUCGGAUCGUAAAACUCUGUUGGUAGAGAAGAACGUUGGUGAGAGUGGAAAGCUCAUCAAGUGACGGUAACUACCCAGAAAGGGACGGCUAACUACGUGCCAGCAGCCGCGGUAAUACGUAGGUCCCGAGCGUUGUCCGGAUUUAUUGGGCGUAAAGCGAGCGCAGGUGGUUUAUUAAGUCUGGUGUAAAAGGCAGUGGCUCAACCAUUGUAUGCAUUGGAAACUGGUAGACUUGAGUGCAGGAGAGGAGAGUGGAAUUCCAUGUGUAGCGGUGAAAUGCGUAGAUAUAUGGAGGAACACCGGUGGCGAAAGCGGCUCUCUGGCCUGUAACUGACACUGAGGCUCGAAAGCGUGGGGAGCAAACAGGAUUAGAUACCCUGGUAGUCCACGCCGUAAACGAUGAGUGCUAGAUGUAGGGAGCUAUAAGUUCUCUGUAUCGCAGCU